rnacentral:rRNA from 1 species
AUUAGAUUAAAAACCAAUGCCCUUCGGGGCUCUCUGGUGAUUCAUGAUAACUUCUCGAAUCGCAUGGCCUUGCGCCGGCGAUGGUUCAUUCAAAUUUCUUCCCUAUCAACUUUCGAUGUUUGGGUAUUGGCCAAACAUGGUUGCAACGGGUAACGGAGGGUUAGGGCUCGACCCCGGAGAAGGAGCCUGAGAAACGGCUACUACAUCCAAGGAAGGCAGCAGGCGCGCAAAUUACCCAAUCCCGACUCGGGGAGGUAGUGACAAUAAAUACUGAUACAGGGUUCUUUCGGAUCUUGUAAUUGGAAUGAGUACAAUUUAAAUCCCUUAACGAGGAACAAUUGGAGGGCAAGUCUGGUGCCAGCAGCCGCGGUAAUUCCAGCUCCAAUAGCGUAUAUUAAAGUUGUUGUGGUUAAAAAGCUCGUAGUUGAACCUUGGGCCUGGCUGGCCGGUCCGCCUCACCGCGUGUACUGGUCCGGCCGGGCCUUUCCCUCUGUGGAACCCUAUGCCCUUCACUGGG